UACGUAGGGACCUAGCGUUGUCCGGAAUCAUUGGGCGUAAAGCGCGCGUAGGCGGCCCGGUAAGUCCGUUGUAAAAGUCGAAGGCUCAACCUUCGAAAGCCGAUGGAUACUGCCGGGCUAGAGUCCGGAAGAGGCGAGUAGAAUUCCUGGUGUAGCGGUGGAAUGCGCAGAUAUCAGGAGGAAUACCCAUAGCGAAGGCAGCUCGCUGGGACGGUACUAACGCUGAGGCGCGAAAGCGUGGGGAGCGAUCCGG
rnacentral:rRNA from 1 species